UACGUAGGGGGCAAGCGUUGUCCGGAUUUAUUGGGCGUAAAGAGCGUGUAGGCGGUUGGGUAGGUCCGUUGUGAAAACUCGAGGCUCAACCUCGAGACGCCGAUGGAAACCCCCCAGCUAGAGUCCGGAAGAGGAGAGUGGAAUUCCUGGUGUAGCGGUGAAAUGCGCAGAUAUCAGGAGGAACACCGGUGGCGAAGGCGGGUCUCUGGGCCGAUACUGACGCUGAGGAGCGAAAGCGUGGGGAGCAAACAGG
rnacentral:rRNA from 1 species